rnacentral:rRNA from 1 species
UACGUAGGCAGCGAGCGUUGUUCGGAGUUACUGGGCGUAAAGGGUGUGUAGGCGGUUGUUUAAGUUUGGUGUGAAAUCUCCCGGCUCAACUGGGAGGUGCGCCGAAUACUGAAUGACUAGAGUGUGGGAGAGGUGAGUGGAAUUCCUGGUGUAGCGGUGAAAUGCGUAGAUAUCAGGAGGAACACCGGUGGUGUAGACGGCUCACUGGACCAUAACUGACGCUGAAACACGAAAGCGUGGGUAGCAAACAGG